UACGUAGGGUGCAAGCGUUAAUCGGAAUUACUGGGCGUAAAGCGUGCGCAGGCGGUUUUGUAAGUCUGUCGUGAAAUCCCCGGGCUCAACCUGGGAAUUGCGAUGGAGACUGCAAGGCUAGAAUCUGGCAGAGGGGGGUAGAAUUCCACGUGUAGCAGUGAAAUGCGUAGAGAUGUGGAGGAACACCGAUGGCGAAGGCAAUCCCCCUGGGCCUGCACUGACGCUCAUGCACGAAAGCGUGGGGAGCAAACAGG
rnacentral:rRNA from 1 species